UUGCUGUUACAGAGGAUUCUAAAAAUAGCAAUACUUGGAACAAAGAUACAGGGCAUUUUCUGUUCAAAAAGGGGAGUCCAGGAAAAUUUGAGAUCGCCAUGAAAAACACAUGCUGAUUAAAAAAUCAUUACGUCACAGGUUUCUCAGGAUCUGGCUGAACCCCCUUCACACGCCCCCUCCGUGCCCACAGCCUGCCCGUCUCCCGCGCACAGCGGCCGCAUUCCCGGCCGGCAGAGCCGCCCCCCGCCCUGCGCGCACGGGGGGAUGAGCGCACACACCCGGCUUUCUGCCCGCGGCCCCCCCGCUCCGGCCGGCAGCUCCGCGCCUCCCCCGCCCGGGCCGCGCACGCCGGGGAUCCCGCGGGGCUGGCGGGCACACCGCGCAGGGCUGCGAUGCCAAGGGUAGAGCCGACCCCUCCGGCAUGCCCUCUUUCCUCCUGGCCUCUUCCCUUCCCCUCCGCGCAUCUGCGUUCUCCUUUCCUCUUCUCCCCUCUCCCUCCCCGCGAUUCCAUCUUCCCUCCUCGCUUUUCCCCCUGCCCCUCCUGGCACCUCUACCGACAUCCCCUCACCUCCCCGGCCCGCCCUGCCUACCCCCCUCUCCCGCCCGCAACCAGCCGAGCGCCAGCUCGCCGCAGCCGCAGCCACCGCCGCCUCCCUUCCCUCCGCGCCGGCAGCCGCGCUCACACACAGACAGACAGACAGACAGAGGCAGGCAGACAGACAGACAGACGGGCGGGCGGGCGGGCAGGCAGGCAGACAGACGCCGCGCGGACGCGCGCAUCCUGGCGCUCGGAGGUAGUACUGCUGUCCCGGACUUCUUCAAUGUUGCCUGGAACCCAAAUACGCUUGCAAGGAUUCCCAUUGAUCUGCUAUUCUUCCUGUGAAGAAGCUCUGCCUUUUAUUUUUUUGUUUCGAUACAGGCUUAAUUAUCCCCUCAGCUCCUGUGCUGGAGAUGAGGAACAACAAACCCUUUCUUUAAGCUGGAGAUGGGAACAAUUAACCCUCUCUUAGACCUGCUCACGGCUUUGUAGAUCUCCUCAGUAAUCUCUGUACAUCAUUACAUUUCCUGGCUGAAGAGUUCUAGGUUGCUCUCAUGGGGACCUUUGUCCACAGACUAUUCUGUACCUCUUACUGUCCUUGAUGCACUCCUGAGCAUGACCCUCAUCUAACAGAUCUAAAUUUGAGUUGAAGAAAUACACACCAUGGAUUCAUACAGUGGCCCAAUGGUGUUUUUCCUUGACAAUACUUCAUGAGGAUCUUUUGAGCACAGGAGGUGAUGUUUCUAUGGCCUGUCAUAACCCUGAGACUUUACUCAUGCCAGCUCAGAGCCCACCAUUUUUAAUGAUUAUUUGUCCAUGUGUGUUAUUUUACAUUCACCUAUACUGGAUUUCUGAUAUUGAAUAUUCAGUCUCAUAAUGUCCAGUUACCUUCUGCCCCUUUCCUGCUAUCUGGACUCAUACAAGAUUGGACUGAUGCAUGUGACUGCAGCACAGAUUUUCUUCCAUUAGUGUUGCCUGCCUCCAUGAUGAUACAAAGAUGCACUCAAGAGCAAUUAGCAGAACGAAUGGGAAUGAACUCUUAGCUGUGUGCUGUGACAUGCGGUUCAGUAACUCAGAUGAAUUCUCCUCUCGAUCACCCUGCCCAGCUCUGCUGACUUCAGCAUGAGGACCAUUUGGAUUUUAUCAGCACUGUAGAAAAGAAAAAAAUAGAGCCUGUAGGAGAUCUGGAUUUUGAGAAAUUUUUUUUCCAGCUAGUAAAAGAAAGAAGUAAGUAUUGUAAGAAAAAUCAAAAUGUGUUUUGUGUUUACAUUUUUCUCA